UCUCUAUAAAUGUUUUUAUUUUAGAUUCUUCAAUGGAUAAGCGUUACAAGGUAAGCCAGAAGGGACCUCACGAUCCCUUUUCCUUGACCAUCACGAGCUUGAGCAAAGCUGACCUUGGAGUUUAUUACUGCUGUCUGCCAUCGGGCUGCUCUAAGAACAUUAACGAGGAGCAGUGUCAAAGCUUUGACAUCGAUAAAAAAAGUGAACCAACUGCUGGAACAAUGUCUGUGGUUGCCCAUAACGUGUUCCUCAUCUUGAGUUUCUUUGUGGUGUCGCUUGUGAGUUUGUAGAGGACGGGGUAGCGUACCAAACAACUUGAUCUUCUCUCUUGACUUCAGCUGAUUUUCAUAUUAGGAGAUGUUCACAGCUUCUGUACGCCACUGAUUCACAAUCAUUCCUAUACCGUCCUCUAAAUUUUUCGGUUGCGUGAAUUUGUAAAACUUCCCUAAUGUUUUAUUAGUCUUAUUAGUCUGCUGGUUAUGACUAGUUUUUCAAGUUUUUUUCUUCGGCUAUUAUAAACAAAAUAUUGGACCCAACUUUCAAACACUUCAAAUGUAAUCAUCUUUUGCUUGUUUAUUAUUAGAUAUAAGGGGUAAUUAAAAUUGCAGACCCUAAAGUCGAGUGGCAGCCUUGCCAGUUAGUACAUACCGCCCUGCGUUCACAGAUUAACAAAAAGCUGUGAACAGAAUCCAGUAUCCAGUACAGUGAGAUCAGAAAGUAAAAUCUACAGUUAUGUUAAGUAAAAUAUAUUGUCUGCAUCAUUUCACUUAUUUGAAGAAUAUUGGCCUCCCAAGUAAACAAUUAUUUAUCCAAUGGAUGUCGUUACACAAAAUUCACCGUA